CAAGCACAUUUUAUGGUCGCAAACAGGUGUACAUCGAACACACACGCAUACGCUCAUACAAACACAAACAGAGAGUCAUUGUGAGACAAAUGAUUGACUACAAAAGGAAAACAAACAGGAUGUAGCAACAGACAUGAAUAUUUUUCUAUGGCGAAGUUAUGAAAGUGAAAGUGUAUGAGUGAGUGUGAGAGAGAGAGAGCGAGCAAGUGAGAGUGUAAACAUCGCCGCUCAUCCACCUGAUGCAAAACAUAGAAAACCAAGUGGAAAAAUCGAAUGUGCCAACCAGCUAGCCCAGUUAAUGGGGGAGUGAGAACAACUUUCCUGAUAACCCAAAGAGCCAAGGCACAGUUCGAGUUGUACCGUCAUGAGUGAAGGAUAACGUACGCGGACGGAACUGGCCAUUACUUGGGAAUUUUAAAUUUUAUUUCUGUGAAACAGGAAACUUUUCAGUUUAGUUAAAAAAAAAGUAAAAAAAAAAUACAAAAGUUUAAUAACAAUUGUUAUGUAGUUAUGUGUUUGUGUUUAUGUGUCUGAUUUACUAUGCAGUGUGAGUACGUCUGUGAGUUCGAUGGUAUGUUAGUGUGGUCUCAGCUACAAAUGUCUAUCUCUAAAAGCGUAGUGUCAAUAAAUGAGUAAGUGUGUGUGUCUGUCUUCAUGAUUUGUUUGUUGGUUCUGUAUAUAAAGUUAAGUGAUGGUGAUUGUGAGAUUAAAAUUUUUAACAGCAAACACACUCACACACACUCGCACCCGCACACACAUAAAUACCCAUACAUGUAUGUGGCAACAAAUUUAUUUACUGUAUACUCAAAUCUCCCAUGGCAAAUGUUAAGCGCUUUUAAUUUUAUCACUGAAAAGAAGUAAAAUGAGAAAUUAUUUCGAGAAAAAAAAUAUUUUUUUUUCUGAAGUUUAGCCCCUAAAUAAAUUUUACGAAAUUUUGUGAAAAUGUAUUACAAAUUACUUUGCAAAUUCGUGUGUGUAUAACAUAAAUAACAAGGAUAAAACAAAAUAUAUACCAAAUCAAAAACCAAUAAAUUCCAACCAACAACAGCAGCAAUAAAACACAAAAUCUAACCAAGCCAAGCCAAACCAAAUCGAAAAAGAAGAUAUGAUAUUGAAAAGUGUAUCAAGAAAAUUUUCACCUCAACACACAUGACGGGCUGAUUGGUUGGUUGGUUGGUUGUUGUGCCGUAUGAAAGUUAAGAAAAAAACCCCUCCAAAGCAAAGAGGAACAAAAGAGGCCAUACUAAGGUGUGAGUGUCGAACAGCAACAACAAACAACAUUGAAAAUCCAUUGUUGUACCACACAGUAUUACUUCGAACCGAACUUGGCUGCAAACCCAGUGGAAAGCAACAAUAGAACGGAGUUCAAUAGUUACAGAUAAACAUCCUUCGUUAGACCGAAGAAUAACUAUACAUUUACAAAUUAAUAAGAUUAUUUUUUUUUCGUUCGUUGGUGAAUUGUAGCAACGGUCACAACAAUACCUUGAAUCACAUGAAGAAUAUAUAUUUUCAAAUUAUAUUCAUUGAUGUCCUUGAUGGAUAAGACAAGGAUUGACUCGAAUCUCAGCUGCACCAGAAUAUCAAUUUAAAAAUGAACGUGACAAUAUUGACGAAGAUUGUAAAGAAAUAACAAAAACAAAACAAAGAAACCGGAGCCGGUGCCAGAGAAAUGCAAAGUUGUGAAUAUUUUUCUUUGAAUAUUUUGUUAAUUUGAUAUUGAUAAUCAUUUAUACAAAUCAUAGAAGAAGAUUGGA
rnacentral:sRNA from 1 species